rfam:Triticum aestivum genome assembly, contig: Triticum_aestivum_CS42_TGACv1_scaffold_592860_7BS
AAAAUACUCCCUUUGUCGCGAAUUAAUUGUCUUACAUUUGUGUAGAUACGGAUGUAUCUAGAGAUACAUUUGUAUCUAGAAAAAUUUAAGACAAGUAAUUUAGGACGGAGGAAGUAAAAC